GAUGAACGCUGGCGGCGUGCUUAACACAUGCAAGUCGAACGAAGUGGCGAACGUGUGUGUAACGCGUAAUCAACCUGCCCUUCAGAGGGGUACAACAGUUGGAAACGACUGCAAAUACCGCAUACGGAAGGAGGGGUUUGCGUUUGAUUAGCUAGUUGGAGGGGUAACGGCCCACCAAGGCGAUGAUCAGUAGCCGGUCUGAGAGGAUGAACGGGCACAAUGGGACUGGGACAAGGCCCAGACUCCUACGGGAGGCAGCAGUGGGGAAUCUUCCGCAAUGGGCGAAAGUCUGACGGAGCAACGCCGCGUGAGUGAUGAAGGCCUUCGGGUUGUAAAGCUCUGUUAAUCGGGACGCGGUACCGGAAUAGAAAGCCACGGCUAACUACGUGCCAGCAGCCGCGGUAAUAC
rnacentral:rRNA from 1 species